UAGGAAGGUCCGAGGUCAAUUAUUGCAUGUCAGUAACUACUGAACAGCAGGAGCUGUGGUAAUGGUACAGAGAAUAUAGAUGAUAGAUAUUUUCACACUUAGAUUAGAGUAUUAACUCCUGUGUAAUUAUCUACAUUUUGACAUAUACACCCAUGUGAGACCCUUUAUAGAAUUAUAGACAAGAAUCAGCUUUAAACAGAAUUUGGCCUAU
rnacentral:RNase_P_RNA from 1 species